UUUAACAUGAGAGUUUGAUCCUGGCUCAGGAUGAACGCUGGCGGCGUACUUAACACAUGCAAGUCGAACGAAGCACUUAAGUUGAUUU
rnacentral:rRNA from 1 species